rnacentral:sRNA from 1 species
GGUCAACGCAAGGAGGCAGACAUGGGACGUACAUACUCUCUGAAUGUCCUGAUAGUCGGUGCAGCGUUCGUGUUCGUGGUAUCCAUGCUCUUCAUCUGAGCCGCCACGAGGUUCCCACUAACAGGUCAUAUAUCUCGCAUCCAUGACCGUUUGAUAUCAGCACUUCCAAUGAAACGCAUGCUCCUCGCAAAGGAGCAUGCGUUUU